ACUCAUAGCUCAAAAGUUAAUCUAGCCGGAGUCACUACAAUGACCUAUACGGUAAUAUACUGCACAUAAGUUGGAACCACUAAAAAGGGGUAUGUACGACAAGAUUUAGUGUAAUAUAAUUAUACUCAAUUCUAUUAUCUCAUAACAGCCGGCACGAUAAAUCGCUAGUCACCUACGAGUCGGAACCAUAAAUAAGGUCUGUACAACAAGGCUGUGCACUUAAGUUGGAUCCAAUAUGAGCAUAUAGUGUAGGAGGUGACAUAAAUUAACAGGCCUGUACUUCACAUUUCUGGCUAAAUCACAAUCACCCUAGGUGCAGUUUUAUGAGCUCAACAUUAUUCAAUCACACAUCACAUAUCAUCGAUGAUUCACAUAAUCAAACAUAACUUACCUAAACUUACCUGUGCCUCCACAACACCACAUUUAUAUAUAUAUGCAACCAUGAAAUGUAUAUUCAGAAUAUAAAAGCAUUAGGAUAUUAUUUCAAAGCAUACUUUCCUAAAAAUGCAUUUCUGGGAAAUAUGUCAAGUAUAUAAAUAUACACUGAAAACAAAAGCCCACUCACUGAUAUGUCGACGGGUCGUAACCCCCGAGUCGCCCGUGGAUACGCUCGUCCUCAGGAUAAGCCUCACCUAUAUGCGAAUUAACUGUAAAAACAUUAUUUUAAAGCACAUAGACAACACUAUCUAAUAACUUCUCAUACAAAGCUCAUUUUUCUAUGGCUCACGUGCUGGGGAGGGCACGGCCUCACGUGUAUCACCUUCAACCUCCAAACGCCUGAACAGCGUCGUCGGCGACGGAUUCUGGGCAGACCUGCAACUACCUCUUUCUUGCUUGUUUUUGCACCAUUUUUUAUAAAAUUUUCACUAGAAUGUCAUAAAUCACGAGAGGAAGAAGGCUAUACCUCUUGGGAGCUUCAAAUCCCUCGAAAACUCGUCGGGAGAAUCCUACUAAAACUGGCCACCUUCGAACCUUGUGAUCCUGACGUCAAAACUGAGCCAACAAAGCACUCCGAGCUUCAUGAGAACCUCCUAGAGCUCACUGUGAGCUUGGAUUGUCCUAAAACAUAACCAUUCAAAAGUUCAUUAAUAGUGCUCAACUCGGAGCUUGAAUUUUCAAUGUGAUAUUGAACGAGUUCUUACCUGAAAUGGGUACCUUUAAACUCGUAUGGUCCUCAUGAACACAAUGGUACCAUUUUCUUCCUCGAUCUAUGAAGAUUUGGCUUGGUUCAAGGUUGUCCGUAUGGAGGAGAGGGAAGAGAGAGUGAGUUCGAGAGAGUGAGUUCGAGAGAGGAAGGGUAUGGAUGUGUGUGUGUGGUUCUAAAAUGUAAACCAAUCAAAACUCUUUAAUCUUUUAGCUCUAAUUGGGUCCAAUUAGUUAGGGAUAAAACUAAUUGACCCAAUUUCUUAACCCAAAAUACGAACACACACCCGACGCUCAAGGGUAAAUUCGUCUUUUCACAACCACGAUAAUUAUUUCUCGAGACUGGCUGUGACAAUGUAUAUUUGAGAAGAUUGAUGUAAACAUGUAGACUAACACUCACAUAUGUUAUAACAAGAAAAGGCACUUUCUGAAAUUAUUAAUACACACAUGUAUAUGAUCUCAUGAACGGAAUGCCACUACUUAAAAGCGAGAACCAGGGAUUCCAUAUGCUUGUACCAAUUUCAAUCUCCACAUAUUGAAACACAUAACAAUCAAGAUAAAAGUCUAUGGGUUGUAAUGCUGCCAAGGUAUUGGCUAACAAAGAAAGGUUAAGGAUAAACAAAGGUUCUUAAAGUGAUAGUAAGCAAAGUAAUGAAAUCAACACUUAGAAUUCAACUUUGAUUAGAGCACCUAACUUUAAACACAAAGGGGAGAUUCGUACAACUUUAGGGCCAGAUUCAUAUUUUUGGACCCUUCUUCAACAACCAACACUUACGAACUCAUUCUCACUUCUUUUCAACUUUUUUUUUCUUCUUUUUUUGAAACAUAAAAUAUGCACUACUUCAUUGGAUUUAAAAGAAAAAAUUCUUCCCCCACACUUGUUUUUCUGUAAAUCGUAAAUCAAAAGGAAUUCCCAACAAGUCAUGCUUCACUAUUCUUUAAGAACAAGGGUAUGGAUAUUCCUAUACCAGGUUAAGUAGGGAUAAUGCAAGCUAACAAGGAAAAUAGGCUAAAUAAGGCUGAAAAAGGGGUUAACCUACAAAACAUGUGCAAUGGAUAAGGCUUUUGGCUCUGGGGGAACUAAACACCUUCAUCUUAUUAUUUGUUAUGCAAUAAUUUUUAUGCUUUGAAUGAAAUGGGCAUGAGUUCUAGUAUUUGGAACUAAAAUUAUGAAAAAGCAUUCUAAGUAGCAACAAGCAAAGAAAUAAUGAGAUCAUGCAAUGACUUUAUAAAACAAGAAUAUCAUAGAUUAUUAAGGGCUCGUUUGGAUGUGCUUUUAAAAUGACUGAAAGCGCUUUUGGUGAAAAUGUUUUUGAAACCAAUCCUUAGUUAAAAUGCAAGUAAAUCCUGGAAAAUCACUUAGAGUGCUUCUUAGAAAAGCACAUAACUGGUGCUUAUUGCAAAAAACACUUCAAGUGCUUUUGGAACCCAAAAACAUUUCCUCUAAAAGCACUUUCAAUCAUUUUAAAAGCACAUCCAAAUGAGCCCUAACUCUCCAAACAAAGAAUAGGCUCAAGUCUCACAGGGUUGUAGAGUUAGUUUGAGUUUCUUCCUUCAAGCAUGUUACAAGCAUUGAUUGUUUUUUUUUUUUUUUUUGUCAUUACACAUGAAUUCGUAAAUGACAACUACAACUAAGUAGUAACCAAAGAGUAUAUCAAACUUCCACCCAUGUUUGUAACGUUCUUUAACAGUCAUGCAAUUAAAAACCAAAUUCUCAUCAUUGUGUUAGAAGGUAACCUAAGACACAAACAAGCAACAAAAACGACUCUUUUUUUUUUUUUUUGUAUUUCUCAAACUUUUUUGAUAUUUUUUUUUCAAAUCUUGUUUUUAUGACACACAAUAAAACACUUUAAAACAGUGAAUAACAACAUUAGUAGUGAUAGGUGGUCAAAUUCAAAGAGAAAUCACGAAAAACAAUCUAUUUACCCCCCAACACUUAAACCAAACAUUGUCCUGAAUGUUUCAUUAUCCUUUAAAGAUACCUAGGGUUCAUUUCUUCAAGGUCGAAACUUGGCUAAGGAGUUCUAAGUCGAAAACCUCAGAAGUGAGGGGGCAAUGUUUGGGCCCAAAAUAAUAUUAUUGGGCCGAGCAUAUGUUUAUGUUUGGUCCCAAGCUUUUCCGAAAAUGCUAUGGGCCUGCCAGGGGUCAUGGGCCGCUCAGUUAGGACGGUCGAGUCCUAUUCCAAGAAUGAGUGAUUUGGAUAAGAGCGGAUGCGUCGAGUCCUAGUAUGAUAAGGAGUCUUAAUGGAAUGAGGACGCUAAGAUUUGAGAAGUGAAGGUUGCUGGAUAAAGAGUUUGGUUCAAAGUCUUAGUGGAGGUAGGAUUGGCCGAGUCUUGGUUGGAUUAGGAUGAAGAAUCCUAAUCCGAGUAUAGUUCUAAUUCGGCCAAGAUGAGAUUGGCUGCUAUAAAUAGGAGGGGUGUGCGUCAUUCGAAGCCCCCUCCAAUUCAAUACACAAACUACCCUGUGUAAACCCUCGCUCUACGCGAAACCUCUCAAACAUCUUGAGAUUUUUAUUUUCUUCUUCACUGACAUAUCUUCAGUUUGGAUAAACAACAUUGUGGAGGCAACCGGCGAACAUCUACAGUUUGGAUAAACAGCGUUAUUGUAGUAAAAUCGACCGACUGAGAAGCACCUUAGUUUGGAUAAACAGCAAUACGACUAGGUCGAUUGGUUAUCUAUCCAAGUCUUGGUUGAGAAGGAUUUUAAAGUCUUUAUUCGCGGAGGUCAUCUCAUUAGCCUUAUUGGCGAAGUGAGGUGUUACAGAUUACCAGGCUCAACACAUUGAACGCUGAGUUAUUUUAUGAUUGGAUACUCACAAGUAGGAUUUAGAGUUCGGCAUUCUAAUAGCUAAACUACAUUUACGGUUAAGGCGUACAUUUGCUUUGAGUAUUUGUGCCCGUAUAGUCUGGUGUCGAUUCACUGUGGCUGAACCUAGUGCCGACAAUUUAUGAACUUUGUAGAACUAGUAACCUUGUCUUUAGGCUCUAGAACCUAAAGGUCGAGACGUGUUUCUUCCUCGACUGCAGUCGUAAGGUCAAGAAGUUAACAACGCAUUCAACGCAACAUCAACAAAUUUUACUCAUCGACCGAGCUUGAUUUUCGAGUUCGCAUGCCCCGUCCACAACUAAAGGACGUAGUUAGCUUAUUAAUUACUCAGACUACGCGCCAUGUAGGCUUGGUAGUUUUUAGGGUCAACUUUUGGCACGCUCAGUGUGAUCGGUGCUAAAACCUUAGAGUUCAUGACCAUUGAG
rnacentral:lncRNA from 1 species